rnacentral:piRNA from 1 species
UGGGUGGCAUCUUCAGGACGAUUCUGCUG